GCCCGUCACACCAUGGGAGUGGGUUGCUCCAGAAGUAGCUAGUCUAACCGCAAGGGGGACGGUUACCACGGAGUGAUUCAUGACUGGGGUGAAGUCGUAACAAGGUAGCCGUAGGGGAACCUGCGGCUGGAUCACCUCCUUAAUCGAAGAUCUCAGCUUCUUCAUAAGCUCCCACACGAAUUGCUUGAUUCACUGGUUAGACGAUUGGGUCUGUAGCUCAGUUGGUUAGAGCGCACCCCUGAUAAGGGUGAGGUCGGCAGUUCGAAUCUGCCCAGACCCACCAAUUGUUGGUGUGCUGCGUGAUCCGAUACGGGGCCAUAGCUCAGCUGGGAGAGCGCCUGCUUUGCACGCAGGAGGUCAGGAGUUCGAUCUUCCUUGGCUCCACCAUCUAAAACAAUCGUCGAAAGCUCAGAAAUGAAUGUUCGUGAAUGAACAUUGAUUUCUGGUCUUUGCACCAGAACUGUUCUUUAAAAAUUCGGGUAUGUGAUAGAAGUAAGACUGAAUGAUCUCUUUCACUGGUGAUCAUUCAAGUCAAGGUAAAAUUUGCGAGUUCAAGCGCGAAUUUUCGGCGAAUGUCGUCUUCACAGUAUAACCAGAUUGCUUGGGGUUAUAUGGUCAAGUGAAGAAGCGCAUACGGUGGAUGCCUUGGCCCCACAGGCG
rnacentral:misc_RNA from 1 species